UCUGACCAGCCUCUCUCAUUGAGAGACGAUGAUUGAUUACAAGAUCAAUUACAGUAGCUCUAAUCUCAUCUGAGACUACAGCUCUUGAUCUUCCUCUUCUUCUUCCACCACGCAUUUGAAGUCCUUGCCCCCUCCCAGCAACUCUUCUUCUUUUAGCCACUUCUCCAUCUCCGGCUGGUUACAUGUUUAUGUCACAAUACAAAACUAUUCUGAGGUUGUCUCCUUUUGUAAUAAAAUUGAAAGAGUAACACCUGUGUAGGUGUUAAGCCAUAAUGGGAAUCAGCUGUGGUUGGUCCAAUUGUCCAAUUGUUUUCAUAAUAUUUAAUUUUUCAAUUCAAAAUAUAUUUUAUUACAAUAUCACUGUAGAAUUGUAGCAAAUUUUUGUCUUAUUGAGUUUUUCCUUAUGUUAUUGUUUUGAACUUAAGUUUAACAGUUUUGAAAACAGUAUGCUAGCAUGUGCAAGUUGGCCUGUAGGUACACAGCGUUUUGGUGGUUGUAGUGGAUUAGCAUUUUG